ACGGGUGAGUAACACGUGGGUAACCUGCCUGUAAGACUGGGAUAACUCCGGGAAACCGGGGCUAAUACCGGAUGCUUGUUUGAACCGCAUGGUUCAGACAUAAAAGGUGGCUUCGGCUACCACUUACAGAUGGACCCCCGGCGCAAUAACUAGUUGGUGAGGUAACGGCUCAACAAGGCCACGAAGCCUAACCCAACUGAAAAGGUGAACCGCCACACUGGGACUGAAACCCCGCCCAAACUCCUACCGGAAGCAACAAUAAGGAAUCCUCCCCAAUGGACCAAAAUCUGAACGAACAACCCCCCCUGAAUUAAGAAAGUUUUCCGAACCUAAAACUCUGUUGUUAAGGAAAAACAGUUCCGUUCCAAUAAGGCGGCACCUUGACGGUACCUAACCCGAAAGCCACGGCUAACUACGUGCCAACAACCCCGGUAAUACCUAAGUGGCAAGCGUUGUCCGGAAUUAUUGGGCGUAAAAGGCUCGCAGGCCGUUUCUUAAGUCUGAAGUGAAAGCCCCCGGCUCAACCGGGGAAGGUCAUUUGAAACUGGGGAACUUUAAUGCAGAAAAGAAGUGGAAUCCCGUGUAACGGUUAAUUCCUAAAAUUGGAAGAAACCAGUUGCCAAAGGGACUCUCUGGGCUGUACUGACCUGAGGGCGAAACGUGUGGAGCAACCCAUUAUAUACCCGGUGUCCCCCCCUAAACAUUAGGCCCACGGUGAAGGGCUCCCCCCCUUUGUGCACGUACUCCUAUUAAUCCACCGCCGGGGAGGGCGCGGAG
rnacentral:rRNA from 1 species